UGGGGAAUUUUGGACAAUGGGCGAAAGCCUGAUCCAGCAAUGCCGCGUGUGUGAAGAAGGCCUUCGGGUUGUAAAGCACUUUUGUCCGGAAAGAAAUGGCUCUGGUUACUACCUGGGGUCGAUGACGGUACCGGAAGAAUAAGGACCGGCUAACUACGUGCCAGCAGCCGCGGUAAUACGUAGGGUCCAAGCGUUAAUCGGAAUUACUGGGCGUAAAGCGUGCGCAGGCGGUUGUGCACGCCCGAUGUGAAAUCCCCGAGCUUAACUUGGGAAUUGCAUUGGUGACUGCACGGCUAGAGUGUGUCAGAGGGGGGUAGAAUUCCACGUGUAGCAGUGAAAUGCGUAGAGAUGUGGAGGAAUACCGAUGGCGAAGGCAGCCCCCUGGGAUAACACUGACGCUCAUGCACGAAAGCGUGGGGAGCAAACAGG
rnacentral:rRNA from 1 species